GUUGGUAUUGUCGCACGGUGAGGACCUUCUCUGGCUGUCCGAUUGGAGUCAAGUAUUGUAGCACGGUGAGGACCUUCACUCGUUGUCCGGUUGGAGUCAAGUGAUUGUGAGCCAUCUACUUUUACUGCAACAGAAGAAGCACCUGAGCUUUCUCAAGAAAGCAGUGUGACCAGCCAGUCUUUGGAAUGCAAAGCAGCAACAGUUGCGUAGCCAGUGCCACUGAGAAAACACAAAAAGAAGCUGCAUUAUAUAACUUUGUGCUUACUCUGCAAGUUUUAACAGCACACAAUGGGCCUAUUUCAGACGCGGUUGGAGUUGCUAUCGCUGUUUCCUUGGAAGCAGCAGUGAUAGCGCUAUACAGUGAUGCAGCAGAAGGAGUCUAUUACAAGCAGACACCUCAUACUACAGAAGUGAUCUGACCUGCAUCCUAGGAUGCAGCAUUGGAUCACUCAGUCAUCAUCGGGCUGGUUACUGCACCCAUUGUGCUGCGCUAGCCACCCGCGGCAGAUAUCCGGAAAUCUCCGUCCCACAACGGAAAUCCCUGACCCUCCCCCUAAUCGGUGGAAACAUGCCUCUAUUUUCACAAAUGAAGGCUGUCGCUGCUACCCCAGAUGGCAGCAGACUGUCAAUAACUGACAGCCUGCUGCCGUCCUGCAUCGCAGAACCCAUUCACGCACGUGCAGAAUGGAUCUUGCGCAUGCGAAAAGUACCGAUAAUCAGUACUUUGUGUCACAAUAUGCAAUAUUAAUACUGUUCCACCCACAGGCCGCAGUAUCCCCUAGGUGGAGGGGAGGUUGGGGGAGACUUUGAUCAGCACUGAUCAGUGAUCAAUGAAUAGAUGCUGUGCGAUUGUGCCUUCAUAAUGCUAAAAACAGGUUCAUGGCAUGAGGCCACACCCCUCCCAUCCAAGGCCACACCCCUAAAGUCUAAAACCAUGCCUCUUUUACUGUUGCAUGUGUCUAUGAAGUUCAUGGGAGCAAAAGUUGUGAGGUAUGCAGAUAAGUGGGAUGCAUUUGCUUCCAUUCCGUAUUGAAGAUAUGGGGCGGGAUGUAAUGCUGCCCAUAUUCGACAAAUGCGUGGGAUGCCAGCUGAACUCAGACGCUUUUUAAUAGGAGCAAUCACUUACAAGGCAUGGUUUUGCCUUGUAAGUGAAUGCCUCUUUAAAAAACGUCUGGGUUCGGCCAACAUCCUGUCCCCAGGCCUUCAGAAUGGAACACAGUAUUCUAGAUGAGGCUGUACCAAUAACCUAUACAGGGGCAUUAUUACUUCUUUCUUUCUGCUGCUAAUUCCUCUCCCUAUACAACCAAGUACCUGACUUGCCUUAUUUAUUGCCUUGUUACAUUGCGUGCCUGCCUUUACGUCACCUGAAAUAGUGACUCCAAGAUUCUAUUCCACCUCAGUAGUUUCCAAUAUAGUGCUGUUUAUAUUAUAUUUAGCCUUUGGAUUUUUG